rnacentral:rRNA from 1 species
UACGGAGGGUGCGAGCGUUAUCCGGAUUCACUGGGUUUAAAGGGUGCGUAGGUGGGCAGGUAAGUCAGUGGUGAAAUCUCCGGGCUUAACCCGGAAACUGCCAUUGAUACUAUCAGUCUUGAAUACCGUGGAGGUAAGCGGAAUAUGUCAUGUAGCGGUGAAAUGCUUAGAUAUGACAUAGAACACCAAUUGCGAAGGCAGCUUACUACCCGAAUAUUGACACUGAGGCACGAAAGCGUGGGGAUCAAACAGGG